rnacentral:rRNA from 1 species
GAUGAACGCUGGCGGCGUGCCUAAUACAUGCAAGUCGAGCGAACAGACGAGGAGCUUGCUCCUCUGACGUUAGCGGCGGACGGGUGAGUAACACGUGGAUAACCUACCUAUAAGACUGGGAUAACUUCGGGAAACCGGAGCUAAUACCGGAUAAUAUAUUGAACCGCAUGGUUCAAUAGUGAAAGACGGUUUUGCUGUCACUUAUAGAUGGAUCCGCGCCGCAUUAGCUAGUUGGUAAGGUCACGGCCUACCAAGGCAACGAUGCGUAGACGACCUGAGAGGGUGAUCGGCCACCCUGGAACUGAGACACGGUCCAGACUCCUACGGGAGGCAGCAGUAGGGAAUCGUACGCAAUGGGCGAAAGCCUGACGGAGCAACGCCGCGUGAGUGAUGAAGGUCUUCGGAUCGUAAAACUCUGUUAUUAGGGAAGAACAAAUGUGUAAGUAACUAUGCACGUCUUGACGGUACCUAAUCAGAAAGCCACGGCUAACUACGUG